rnacentral:rRNA from 1 species
AUUGAACGCUGGCGGCAUGCCUUACACAUGCAAGUCGAACGGUAACAGGUCUUCGGAUGCUGACGAGUGGCGAACGGGUGAGUAAUACAUCGGAACGUGCCUAGUAGUGGGGGAUAACUACUCGAAAGAGUGGCUAAUACCGCAUGAGAUCUACGGAUGAAAGCAGGGGAUCGCAAGACCUUGUGCUACUAGAGCGGCCGAUGGCAGAUUAGGUAGUUGGUGGGAUAAAAGCUUACCAAGCCGACGAUCUGUAGCUGGUCUGAGAGGACGAUCAGCCACACUGGGACUGAGACACGGCCCAGACUCCUACGGGGGGAAGCAGUGGGGAAUUUUGGACAAUGGGCGAAAGCCUGAUCCAGCAAUGCCGCGUGCAGGAUGAAGGCCUUCGGGUUGUAAACUGCUUUUGUACGGAACGAAAAGCCCUGGGUUAAUACCCUGGGGUCAUGACGGUACCGUAAGAAUAAGCACCGGCUAACUACGUGCCAGCCGCCGCCGUAA